rnacentral:rRNA from 1 species
UAUGGCUCAGGAUGAACGCUAGCGGCAGGCUUAACACAUGCAAGUCGAGGGGCAUCGGGAGUAGCAAUACUUGCCGGCGACCGGCGCAAGGGUGCGUAACGCGUGAGCAACAUGCCCGUAUCAGGGGGAUAAUCCAUGGAAACGUGGUCUAAUACCCCAUAGUAAUUAUGUAAGGCAUCUUAUAUAAUUUAAAGCUUUGGUGGAUACGGAUUGGCUCGCGUGACAUUAGCUAGAUGGUAAGGUAACGGCUUACCAUGGCUACGAUGUCUAGGGGUUCUGAGAGGAAGGUCCCCCACACUGGAACUGAGACACGGUCCAGACUCCUACGGGAGGCAGCAGUGAGGAAUAUUGGACAAUGGGAUGGAAAUCUGAUCCUAGCCAUGCCGGCGUGCAAGGAAGACCGGCCCUAUGGGUUGUAAACUGCUUUUGUAUGGGAGCAAUAAGGGCUACGCGUAGUCCGAUGAGAGUACCAUACGAAUAAGCACCGGCUAACUCCGUGCCAGCAGCGGC